CCUACGGGUGGCAGCAGUGGGGAAUAUUGGACAAUGGGGGGAACCCUGAUCCAGCGACGCCGCGUGAGUGAAGAAGUAUUUCGGUAUGUAAAGCUCUAUCAGCAGGGAAGAAAGAAAUGACGGUACCUGACUAAGAAGCCCCGGCUAACUACGUGCCAGCAGCCGCGGUAAUACGUAGGGGGCAAGCGUUAUCCGGAUUUACUGGGGGUAAAGGGAGCGAAGACGGUUACGCAAGUCUGGAGUGAAAGGCGGGGGCCCAACCCCCGGACUGCUUUGGAAACUGGAUAACUGGAGUGCAGGAGGGGUAGGUGGAAUUCCUAGUGUAGCGGUGAAAUGCGUAGAUAUUAGGAGGAACACCAGUGGCGAAGGCGGCUUACUGGACUGUAACUGACGUUGAGGCUCGAAAGCGUGGGGAGCAAACAGGAUUAGAUACCCGGGUAGUC
rnacentral:rRNA from 1 species